rnacentral:tRNA from 2 species
GGAGAGGUGGUCGAGUGGUCGAAGGCGCCGGUCUCGAAAACCGGAGUGGGUUUACGCCCACCGAGGGUUCGAAUCCCUCCCUCUCCG